GUUGAACUUAAUUUUAUAGUUUAAAUGGAAAGAACAUGAUAUUUAAUAAAUAAAGGUCACAUACAAGACGUUAAAAAAACGCCCCUUUGGAUGUAUUUCUUUCAAUAUUUCGAAUUCGUAUCUUUCCUUAAUUUAUGCUUCCGUGAUUGAAAGACUUACAAGUUUUAGGUUAAAAGGCACUUACAUAAAUCUAGAUAUCUGCUAUAUCAGCGAAUACCACUUAAAAUAGGUUAUUUUUUGUCGCAUAGCAACAUUCAUUGAUUGUUGCUUGGCAACCCUUAUUUACUGUUGCUUAGCAACGUUUUCCGUAAGCUCAUACGUAUAGAAUUUACACAGAAUGCACGCAUUUCAUUCGCGUUUUCGUCACUUCAGUAUUUGAGCCAUUUCAUAUUUUUCAAGGGGACAUUUAAGGUGUGGCAAGUAAAUAUUUUUAUCAAAUCUGAGGUCAAUUUUCAAUCCGAAAUCCACAAGAUUUACCUUUCCAGAUGGAUCGGAAUCGAAAUCGAACUUUUAGAUGACAACUUUCUUGAGCUUUCAAAUAUCUGGAUUUUCAUAUGCAUUUGAUGAUCAAAAAUUUCUUAUCCCUUUUAGAUUCUAUAAGUAUUUCAGGAAAUUACGAGCACUUUGAAUUAAAAUUAUAACGAAAUAUAUAUGUAUAUAUAAACUAUGAACGAGUAUCUAUGGCAUCCAUCUAAAUAUGUGAUUAAACGAGAGCAGUAAUUUAAAAACGCAAAAGUCCUUUCUGCUUUUUUAUAUAUUAUCCUUUCUGCUUUUUUGUAAUUAUUACUUUUAAAGUAAACCACAAAAGGUAGAAAAACUAGAUAUAGAGACGAAGCAAAGUAAAACAAAAAAGCUAAUAAAAAAGGGAAUAAGAUCUGAAAUUCGAAAAGAAUUGUUAAAAGUUUUAGAAAUAGAUAUAAUAUUGACAAAUAACUCAGAAUUAUUCUAUUACCUAUCUCAGAAUUAAUUUUUUCUAAACUUUUUCAAUUAUACAUGAAUUGCAGAAUGAAUAUCAUCAAUUAGUAGUUAGAAUUUUAAUAAGCAGUUUCGAAUAUCACUUUUACGCUUGAUUAUCACAUUUCUGGAGUCACUAAGGACAAAUAAUCAAAGGUAGAUAAAAUAUUGUGUGCACAGCUGAGUACAAACGAAUGUAACAUGAGAGGUAUUUUUACUGCAUUUCCAUGCGAUAAAUGUUCAAAACUCUUUCCUUCACCAGAAAUGCUUGCCAUUCAUAGGAAGUGGAGACAUAGGAGUUCCAGUCAAAGUUAUUUUUUUUCUCAGUGGCAUCAAAUAGAUCCUUGUGAUAUCUAAUUUUAAAAUGUUUUCAUACGUUAUUAUUAUUAUUAUAGCUUAAAUCCACCUUUCUUGUUCUGACAGCUGUAAAAACAUAAAUUUGUAACUAACUCCUUUGAUGUGUAUACUGUUUAAUGGCCAAUAAUCAAAUGGCGCCUAAAUACGAAUGCAAAGUUUCGUUUUGCUAUAGCUAUAAUGGAUUCAACUGCUUCUGCUUUAUACAAAUUGCAUAUAAAUAAUAAAAAUAUCCAUAUAAAAAUCAUCUAA